rnacentral:sRNA from 1 species
UAAAAAUAGCACAUAAGCCAUCUCAACAUCAAUAUAACGAUGAUGGUGGAUAAAGAAAAUACAAAGAUUCAGCAUGAUUUGUUGGUAUCAUCCGCUGCGUCCGCUGCAAAGUUAAUAAAAAGAAAUGU